AUCAUGAGUUCACAUGUCCGCAUGAUUAAAGGUAUUUUCCGGUAGACGAUGGGGAUGCGUUCCAUUAGAUAGUAGGCGGGGUAACGGCCCACCUAGUCAACGAUGGAUAGGGGUUCUGAGAGGAAGGUCCCCCACAUUGGAACUGAGACACGGUCCAAACUCCUACGGGAGGCAGCAGUGAGGAAUAUUGGUCAAUGGGCGAUGGCCUGAACCAGCCAAGUAGCGUGAAGGAUGACUGCCCUAUGGGUUGUAAACUUCUUUUAUAAAGGAAUAAAGUCGGGUAUGCAUACCCGUUUGCAUGUACUUUAUGAAUAAGGAUCGGCUAACUCCGUGCCAGCAGCCGCGGUAAUACGGAGGAUCCGAGCGUUAUCCGGAUUUAUUGGGUUUAAAGGGAGCGUAGAUGGAUGUUUAAGUCAGUUGUGAAAGUUUGCGGCUCAACCGUAAAAUUGCAGUUGAUACUGGAUGUCUUGAGUGCAGUUGAGGUAGGCGGAAUUCGUGGUGUAGCGGUGAAAUGCUUAGAUAUCACGAAGAACUCCGAUUG
rnacentral:rRNA from 1 species